UACGUAGGUGGCAAGCGUUGUCCGGAAUUAUUGGGCGUAAAGCGCGCGCAGGCGGUCCUUUAAGUCUGAUGUGAAAGCCCACGGCUCAACCGUGGAGGGUCAUUGGAAACUGGGGGACUUGAGUACAGAAGAGGAAAGCGGAAUUCCACGUGUAGCGGUGAAAUGCGUAGAGAUGUGGAGGAACACCAGUGGCGAAGGCGGCAUCCUGGACCAAUACUGACGCUGAGGAGCGAAAGCCAGGGGAGCAAACGGG
rnacentral:rRNA from 1 species